rnacentral:rRNA from 1 species
AUACCGGGCCUUUUUGGGCUUGGUAAUUGGAAUUAGGGAGAGUUAAACGGACCAUCGAGUAUCCAUUGGAGGGCAAGUCUGGUGCCAGCAGCUGCGGUAAUACCAGCUCCAAUAGCGUAUAUUAAAGUUGUUGCAGUUAAAAAGCUCGUAGUUGGACUUGUGUGCGCUGUCCGCGGGUGGCCUGCGCCCAAAAGGGCGUUCCGGUUCGGCCCCGGUGGCGCCUUGAAAUCUGCAGCUGGGGGGACGUUGGCCUUAACUGGUCGGCGACCGCACGCCGGCUGCUCGGUUACUGUGAGAAAAUUAGAGUGUUCAAGGCAGGCAUUGGGUGCAAUUGAAUACAUUAGCAUGGAAUAAUAAAAUAUGGCUCCUGCCGUAUUUUGUUGGUUUUGACUGGUGGGAGUAAUGAUUGAUAGGGACGGUUGGGGGUGCUAGUAUUGAGCGGCCAGAGGUGAAAUUCAUGGAUUCGCUCAAGACUAACUUAUGCGAAAGCAUUCACCAAGGACGUCCUCUUUAAUCAAGAACGAAAGUUGGGGGAUCGAAGACGAUCAGAUACCGUCGUAGUCUCAACCAUAAACUAUGUCGACUUGGGAUCGGCGGUAGUUUUUUCAUUAAGACACUGUCGGGACCACGGGAGAAAUCAAAGUGUCUGGACUCUGGGGGAAGUAUGGUCGCAAGGCUGAAACUUGAAGGAAUUGACGGAAGGGCACCACCAGGAGUGGAGCCUGCGGCUUAAUUUGACCCAACACGGGGAAACUUACCAGGUCCAGAGAUGUAGAGGAUUGACAGAUUGAAGCUCUUUCUUGAUCACUUCGGUGGUGGUGCAUGGCCGUUCUUAGUUGGUGGAGUGAUUUGUCUGGUUAAUUCCGUUAACGAACGAGACCUCAGCCUGCUAGUGUAGUCGGCUGGAUUGCCUUUGGCGAUCCGUGAUUUCGACUUCUUAGAGGGACAAUCGACGCGCAGUCGAUGGAAGUUUGAGGCAAUAACAGGUCUGUGAUGCCCUUAGAUGUUCUGGGCCGCACGCGCGCUACACUGCUGGGCUCAGCGAGUUUUACUUGGCCGAGAGGCCCGGUUAAUCUUGUGAAAUCCCAGCGUGCUUGGGCUCGCCUCCUGCAACUGGAGGCGCCAACGAGGAAUUCCUAGUAGACGCAGGUCAUCAACCUGCAUCGAUUACGUCCCUGCCCUUUGUACACACCGCCCGUCGUUCCAUAAGAGUGAGGCAUCCGGUGAAUUCUCGGGAGAGCCUGGGCGUGGCCAGCAAUGGUCUGCUCGGGUUUGAACUUGCAUAAACUUGGUGCCUAUGAUUAGGG